UACAGAGGGUGCAAGCGUUAAUCGGAAUUACUGGGCGUAAAGCGUGCGUAGUCGGCUUUUCAAGUCGGGUGUGAAAGCCCCGGGCUCAACCUGGGAAUUGCAUUCGAUACUGGAUGGCUAGAGUUCGGCAGAGGGAAGUGGAAUUUCCGGUGUAGCGGUGAAAUGCGUAGAUAUCGGAAGGAACAUCAGUGGCGAAAGCGACUUCCUGGACCAGAACUGACGAUCAGGCACGAAAGCGUGGGGAGCAAACAGG
rnacentral:rRNA from 1 species